CCUACGGGUGGCAGCAGUGAGGAAUAUUGGUCAAUGGGCUUACGCCUGAACCAGCCAAGUCGCGUGAGGGAAGACUGCCCUAUGGGUUGUAAACCUCUUUUGUCAGGGAGCAAUUGGCGCUACGUGUAGCGUUAUCGAGAGUACCUGAAGAAAAAGCAUCGGCUAACUCCGUGCCAGCAGCCGCGGUAAUACGGAGGAUGCGAGCGUUAUCCGGAUUUAUUGGGUUUAAAGGUUGCGUGGGCGGAAUGCCAAGUCAGCGGUAAAAUCGCGGGGCUCAACCUCGCUCCGACGUUGAAACUGGCGUUCUUGAGUGGGCGAGAAGUAUGCGGAAUGCGUGGGGUAGCGGUGAAAUGCAUAGAUAUCACGCAGAACCCCGAUUGCGAAGGCAGCAUGCCGGCUUCCGACUGACGCUGAAGCACGAAAGCGUGGGGAUCGAACAGGAUUAGAUACCCUGGUAGUC
rnacentral:rRNA from 1 species